rnacentral:lncRNA from 1 species
CUGAGGCCUGGAGAUGUGGAGUCCUGGCUGGGAGGUGGGGACGGCAGGGAGUGGUUCCUGGCCCCACUUCUAACCUCAGGUCCAGGGAAUUGGGCGCCUGGGGCUUGGCAGGACAGCCCUGUGUUGCCUUGCUGGCAGUGCUCACCCUGACCUCUGGGCACCGCCUCCCUCAUCCAUCCUGAGUGGCCCCUGUGGCCCAGGGGUGGCCCUCAUGUGUCUUCUCAUGUGCCUUUGCGGUGUCUGGGACCCGUCAGGUGCUCCUGGUGCCCCGAGGUGGUAAUGCGGUGCCUGCCCAGUGCCCCGGUGCUGGGGACACAGCCCCGCCGGCUCCCGCUGCCCGGUGCCACCCCGGCUGCCCUCCUGUUCAGGCAGAUGGGGGGCGGGGGCGUCCUGCAGCCAGAGCACUUUCUGAAUGUGCCGCCUCUUUUCCAGCUGCAUCCUCAGGGCCCGGGGUGCACCCUGGACCCCAAGGGUCAGAACCAGGGUGUGGGUGUAACAGCAAAGGGUGACUUCUAGGGCGACUUCAUGCCUCUUCUACUCUGACCACGGAGCUGGCAGGUGCCUGAGAGGGUUCACCCGGGCUGCCGCCUUCCCAGUGGGCUGCGAUUUGCAAGCUCCCUCCUGGGGGUUGAUCCCGGGGCCUCUCCUGUACCCUGUGGAAGAGGCCUGGCUACCCGAGAGCCCCUGGCCACCAGGCCUUUGCACCCGAAGCCCUGUGUCAUGGGGUCACUGGGAGCCUGGCUCACGCUGGCACGAACAGUGGGUGAGGGAGGGUGGCCGGCUCUCGGGGAUCCCCCUGUUGGCACAGGUGGCAGUGGCUGCACUGGGCGACACGUGGUAGGGGAGCGCCACCCCACCCGAGAGCCAGUGCCCGGCGUGGCAGCUGUCUCUGUGCUCCAUGCAGAUGACGACAACCCGCCCGUGUCCUUCGUGAAGUUCUCUCCGAACGGCAAGUACAUCCUGGCCGCGACCUUGGACAACACGCUGAAGCUCUGGGACUACAGCAAAGGGAAGUGUCUGAAGACGUACACCGGCCACAAGAAUGAGAAGUACUGCAUAUUCGCGAAUUUCUCUGUCACUGGCGGGAAGUGGAUCGUGUCGGGCUCGGAGGACAACUUGGUUUACAUCUGGAACCUGCAGACGAAAGAGAUUGUGCAGAAGCUGCAGGGCCACACGGACGUGGUCAUCUCGACGGCCUGCCACCCCACAGAGAACAUCAUCGCCUCGGCCGCGCUGGAGAACGACAAGACCAUCAAGCUCUGGAAGAGCGACUGCUAGGCCCGCGGGCGCGGGGCUGUCGGGACGCCCAGCCGGGCUGGCGAGAGCUCGGUGCUCGAGGGGCUCCCUGGUCCAGGCCUGGGGACUGGAGGCGCCUGGGCCUGCGCCGCCUCCGAGGACGGCUUGGCCGAGGGCCGUGUCCCCCGCAGAGGUUCUCGGAGCUGCCGGUGGCGAUUCUUGCCAAUGCCUGUCUUGUUGGCUGGGGAAGAGUUAGAGUCUGUAUUGUGUUCGGAGGCCACAGAAAUUUCUAAUUUUUUAUUACAAAAGGUGAAGUUCAAUUUAUCACGAGUUGUGUUUUUUUCCAGUAACUGUUCUGUGCAUUUUAUCACCCAGUGCAAGUGCUGGACCAGUCGCCACCACGGUGUGUGGGCGCCAGCCUCGCCCACCCGGCCUCAGAGGGGCCCCCUCGUGGGUCCAGUGACCUCUCUGGGGACCCCCACCCGGUGUUGGUCCUGCCCGCACUCGCAAGCAGCGUGUCUGCAGCGUGUCUGCCCACGUGCCUUUGGCAUCGGGGCCGUUGUCCCCGUGCUGCCAGCGUGGGGGUCACCCUGGGCGCUUCUGUUUGUCCCUCUGGUGGUCACACGCAGGCAGCGCCCCAGCGGUGAUAAAGGUGGCAGCCUGGGCGAGUGGCCGCCGGGUUCUCACACAGAGCUUUGCUCGCUCUUUUGUGGAAAGCCUCGCGGUCGGCAGGAGGUUGAGAGGACGCCUCUCAAAAGACAGGUCCGAGGGAUGCGCCACUCCUUGUCCACACGGGCUCGAGGGCCCCUGCAGGCUGGUGGCCUGUGGAUGUGGGGGCGCAGGACGGAGGGGGCCCCGUGGCCGCUGUGGGUGCGGGUGAGGGUGGAGGAGGCGUGACCUGAGGGCGCAGCGGUGUCCACGCCCGCCGCCCACGCCAGGACGGGCUCCCCGCGGGGGCCUGGCGUCAGCCACCCACACAGUGGGCGCUGCCCCUAGCAGAGGGAGCGAGGGCGCUGGAGGCUUCUGGACGGACCGCAGAGCAGGGCCGUGGGGGACCCCUCUCUGCAGUGAGGCCACCCCGUAGUCCCAGGCCCACCUGCGGCUCCAAGACCGUAGCGGUGGAGGCUGCUUCGUAAGGAGCAUCCCCUGCCUGUGGCCGGGAGUCUGGCCCGUGCUCAGGCUCGGGGCUCAUCUCCCCUGGGGCCACUCCUGGGGCCCGAGUGCCCGGGUCCUGGCUCCAUCGCGCUGAGUGACAGUGUGCAGGUGGGGGCGUGAGGGCUGCUGUCACACAGAACAUGGGGAAACAAGCCACUUCCCGCCCUGCCCUUCAGAAGUAGGCGGACAGCGGGCUGGCUCUAGGGACGAAUAGCUCGGGUGAAAGGACACUGCAUUCCCUGGGCGACAGCCUGGGAGGCGCUGAGCUGCCGCGGCCGUGGUGUGGCCUCAGAUUUCCUUUGGUUCUGUUGGUUCUGGCGUUGGGCGCAGCCCGGGAGGAGGGCGUAUGUGCAGGGCCCUGUGUCCUGGAAUAUAGUUUAUUUUUUCUACAUUUGAAUUCUCUGUUGUAGAUUUAUGUAAAAAUACAUUCUCUUUUUGAAA